rnacentral:misc_RNA from 1 species
ACAUGAUCAAAGUCUCAAUUUCAUUCCAAACCCUAACUCAACUAUCUCAAACCAUGCCUUUUAACUUGCAUUUCAUUGCUCCACUUAAGAGAUUAAUACUAAGGGCAGCCAUACUACCAUUUUAGCUCCUUGAAAAUCAACAAAACCUUACCACAUCCAAGGCUGCCAAAAUUAUAGGAUGGGCAUACACAUGAUAUUUAUUAAAUUUCUUUGCAAUUUUGCACUCAAUCAUACUCCUUCAACAUGAAUUUGAAGAGAA